GAUGAACGCUGGCGGUGUGCCUAAUACAUGCAAGUCGAGCGACAAGAUAAUGAGCUCGCGCCUUUGACGGUGGCGGCUGGCGGGUGAGUAACACGUGCAUAACCAACCUAUAUGACUGGGAUAACUUCGGGAAACCGGAGCUGAUACUGGAUAAUAUAUUCAACCGCUUCGUUCAAUGGUUAAUCACGCUUUUUGUGACACUAAUAGCUGGUGUCGAGCUGGAUUAGCUAGUUGGUAAGGUAACGGCCUACCAAGGCAACGAUGCGUAGCCGACCUGAGAGGAUGAUCAGCCACACUGGAAGUGAGACACGGUCCAGACUCCUACGGGAGGCAGCAGUGGGGAAUCGUCGGCAAUGGGCGAAAGCCUGACGGAGCAACACCGCGUGUGUGAUGAAGGUCUCAGGGUCGUAAAACCCUUUUAUUAGGGAAGAACAAAAGUAUGAGUACCCACGGCCGUCUUGACGGUACCUAAACAGAAAGCAACGGCUAACUACGUG
rnacentral:rRNA from 1 species